rnacentral:tRNA from 1 species
GGUGGUUCAGUGGUAGAGCACUUGCCUUGCAUGCAUGAGGCCCUGGGUUCAAUUCUUCAGCACCA